AAUCAACGCUGGCGGCGUGCCUCAGACAUGCAAGUCGUACGAUUAAAGCUCUCUUCGGAGAGUGUAUAGAGUGGCGCACGGGUGAGUAACACGUAAGUAAUCUACCUUCGAGUGGGGAAUAACAGUCGGAAACGACUGCUAAUACCGCAUAAUGCAGCGGCACCUAAUGGUGACAGUUGUUAAAGCAUUUAUGUGCUUGAAGAGGAGCUUGCGGCAGAUUAGCUAGUUGGUAAGGUAAUGGCUUACCAAGGCAACGAUCUGUAGCCGACCUGAGAGGGUGGUCGGUCACACUGACACUGAAUAACGGGUCAGACUCCUACGGGAGGCAGCAGUCGGGAAUUUUGGGCGAAUGGGCGAAAGCCUGACCCAGCAACGCCGCGUGAAGGAUGAAGUAUUUCGGU
rnacentral:rRNA from 1 species